UACUGCAUCAGGUACCACUGUUCACUAUCUGUCCAUCUCUGUUGUCUCUACUACACUAUAGUACUGCAUCAGGUACCACUGUUCACACUAUCUAUCCAUCUCUGUUGUCUCUACUACACUAUAGUACUGCAUCAGGUACCACUGUUCACACUAUCUAUCCAUCUCUGUUGUCUCUACUACACUAUAGUACUGCAUCAGGUAACACUGUUCACACUAUCUAUCCAUGUCUGUUGUCUCUCUACUACACUAUAGUACUGCAUCAGGUAACACUGUUCACUAUCUAUCCAUCUCUGUUGUCUCUACUACACUAUAGUACUGCAUCAGGUAACACUGUUCACACUAUCUAUCCAUGUCUGUUGUCUCUCUACUACACUAUAGUACUGCAUCAGGUACCACUGUUCACUAUCUAUCCAUCUCUGUUGUCUCUACUACACUAUAGUACUGCAUCAGGUACCACUGUUCACUAUCUAUCCAUCUCUGUUGUCUCUACUACACUAUAGUCCUGUUCAGCUACAUACACACUCUCUCUCCUCUUUCUCUCUCUUUUAAAUAUAUAUAUAUAUAUAUAGCCAGCUCUGCUUUCAGAAAGCCUUUCUAAAUAGCAAGGCUAUGCUCUCUGAGUCUGUACGUAGUCAAAUCUCUUUGUCUGUCUGUGUGACAUUCGGCAGUAUACAUCCACUUGAUCCAGCUUGGGACACUAUACACAUACUUUCUCAAACUCCUGCCUUUCCCCUCCUUACCCACAGGUGGCGCUGUACAGCAUGUAUGUGGCCUGUAUGGCGUUCCAUGCUAAAGUGAGUGACCCGGUGAUUGGUGGGACUUACAUGACCCUGCUGAACACGGUCACCAACCUGGGGGGAAACUGGCCCUCCACCCUGGCAUUGUGGAUGGUCGACCCACUCACCUCUAAGGAGUGCCAGGGAGCUGCCGGGCAGAAAUGUGGCUCCCCAGAGGAGACGGGGCUGUGUGUUAAGGAGGGCGGUGUGUGUGUGACGUCGUUGGAUGGUUACUAUGUGGAGUCGGUGGUGUGUGUGUUGAUAGGACUAGCGUGGUGGGUGUGGCUAGGGAACAGGAUGAGAAGGCUACAGGACCAGAGCCCUGCAGCGUGGAGGUGCAGGAUCGGCCAAUGACAACGUUCACCCAGCUCCUGACCCCGGCAAGGCCAAUCGCCAGACAGCUACAGUCUGAUAUAAAAGCUUCUGUCAGCUCAGCCUUUGACCCUGGCCUGAACAUCACUUCCUCUCUCUCUCAUUUCUGUUUUUCUGUCUUCCUCCGACUCCUUAUUUCUCUCCUUUCUCUGUCCAUCUCUUUCUCCUUCUCUGACUCUUUAUUUCUCUCCUUUCUCUGUCCAUCUCUUUCUCCUUCUCUGACUCUUUAUUUCUCUCCUUCCUCUGUCCAUCUCUCUCUCCUUCUCUGACUCUUUAUUUCUCUCCUUUAUCUGUCCAUCUCUUUCUCCUUCUCUGACUCUUUAUUUCUCUCCUUCCUCUGUCCAUCUCUUUCUCCUUCUCUGACUCUUUAUUUCUCUCCUUUCUCUGUCCAUCUCUCUCUCCUUCUCUGACUCUUUAUUUCUCUCCUUUCUCUGUCCAUCUCUUUCUCCUUCUCUGACUCUUUAUUUCUCUCCUUUCUCUGUCCAUCUCUCUCUCCUUCUCUGACUCUUUAUUUCUCUCCUUUCUCUGUCCAUCUCUCUCUCCUUCUGACUCUUUAUUUCUCUCCUUUCUCUGUCCAUCUCUCUCUCCUUCUCUGACUCCUUAUUUCUCUCCUUUCUCUGUCCAUCUCUCUCUCCUUCUGACUCUUUAUUUCUCUCCUUUCUCUGUCCAUCUCUCUCCUUCUCUGACUCUUUAUUUCUCUCCUUUCUCUGUCCAUCUUUCUCCUUCUGACUCUUUAUUUCUCUCCUUUCUCUGUCCAUCUUUCUCCUUCUCUGACUCUUUAUUUCUCUCCUUUCUCUGUCCAUCUUUCUCCUUCUCUGACUCUUUAUUUCUCUCCUUUCUCUGUCCAUCUCUCUCUCCUUCUGACUCUUUAUUUCUCUCCUUUCUCUGUCCAUCUCUCUCUCCUUCUCUGACUCUUUAUUUCUCUCCUUCCUCUGUCCAUCUCUCUCUCCUUCUCUGACUCUUUAUUUCUCUCCUUUCUCUGUCCAUCUCUCUCUCCUUCUCUGACUCUUUAUUUCUCUCCUUUCUCUGUCCAUCUCUUUCUCCUUCUCUGACUCUUUAUUUCUCUCCUUUCUCUGUCCAUCUCUUUCUCCUUCUCUGACUCUUUAUUUCUCUCCUUCCUCUGUCCAUCUCUCUCUCCUUCUCUGACUCUUUAUUUCUCUCCUUCCUCUGUCCAUCUCCUUCUCUGACUCUUUAUUUCUCUCCUUCCUCUGUCCAUCUCUCUCUCCUUCUCUGACUCUUUAUUUCUCUCCUUUAUCUGUCCAUCUCUUUCUCCUUCUCUGACUCUUUAUUUCUCUCCUUUAUCUGUCCAUCUCUUUCUCCUUCUCUGACUCUUUAUUUCUCUCCUUUAUCUGUCCAUCUCUUUCUCCUUCUCUGACUCUUUAUUUCUCUCCUUUCUCUGUCCAUCUCUCUCUCCUUCUGACUCUUUAUUUCUCUCCUUUCUCUGUCCAUCUCUCUCUCCUUCUCUGACUCUUUAUUUCUCUCCUUCCUCUGUCCAUCUCUCUCUCCUUCUCUGACUCUUUAUUUCUCUCCUUUCUCUGUCCAUCUCUCUCUCCUUCUCUGACUCUUUAUUUCUCUCCUUUCUCUGUCCAUCUCUUUCUCCUUCUCUGACUCUUUAUUUCUCUCCUUCCCUCUGUCUAUCUCUCUCUCCUUCUCUGACUCUUUAUUUCUCUCCUUCCUCUGUCUCUCUCUCUCCUUCUCUGACUCUUUAUUUCUCUCCUUUCUCUGUCCAUCUCCUUCUCUGACUCUUUAUUUCUCUCCUUCCUCUGUCCAUCUCUCUCUCCUUCUCUGACUCUUUAUUUCUCUCCUUCCUCUGUCUAUCUCUCUCUCCUUCUCUGACUCUUUAUUUCUCUCCUUCCUCUGUCCAUCUCCUUCUCUGACUCUUUAUUUCUCUCCUUUCUCUGUCCAUCUCUCUCUCCUUCUCUGAUGACUCUUCUCAGUGUCUCUAUUUUUCCCUCUCCCCUUCUUCCCUUCCUUUGCUCAGUGUAAUAUUGUCCUUCAGCAGUCUGUCUCUGCUUUAACUGUAAUUGUGGUCCGGCCACCACCAGACUAUGGACCAUAACGGUCAAUAACCACAUACUCUCUUGGAGAGUCAAGAGUUACAUUUCUCCUUGCAACGUCACAUCCUCACCAUGGCUUCUGUGGGUGCCGCUUCAACUAUGUCCCAUUGGAAACAAAAGAAGGAACUAUUCUUCUUGCUAGGAAUAUUUACAGUAGACAUAGCUGCUCCUUCUCAAUCCACAUUGUCUGCUACUAUUUCACUAUUUCACUUUCUCACUGUUUAUUUGUGCCUUGCUCUGUUCUUCAAAGACUCUGAUUUUAAAGUUAGUCAGAUAUUUUUUAAAAGGCAUUCAUCAACGAACGGUCAUAAAAAGCAAACCACAUAUAUAUGGAGGGUUAAAUAUGAACUUUGAGAUGUACAGCCAAGACCUAGUUGAUAAAUAGAUCACGUUUCUGUGUGGAACAUGGGAGUCAGAAAUCACUAUUCUUGAUGUGAAUCUAUUGUCCCUUCGAAAGAAAUGCCUAAAUUAUAACAGUACUGUUUUAAUAUACACUGAGUGUAUAAAACAUUAGGAACACCUUCCUAUUGAGUUACUAUGUUAAACGUUCCUAAUGUUGAAUUGCACCCCCCUCCUUUUGCCAUGUUGACACCAAUGCUUCGCACAGUUGUCAAGUUGGCUGGAUGUCCUUUGGGUGUUGGACCAUUCUUGAUGGGAAAACUGUUGAGCGUGAAACUAGGCCACGUUGCAUUUCUUUACACAAACUGGUGUGCCUGGCACCUGCUACCAUACCCUGUUCAAAGGCACUUAAAUAUUAUUCUUGACAAUUCACCCUCUGAAUGGCACAAACACAAUUCAUGUCUCAAUUGUCUCCAGGCUUAAAAAUCCUUCUUUAACCCGUCUCCUCCCCUUCAUCUACACUGAUUGAAGUGGAUUUAACAGGUGCCAUCAAUAAAGGAUCAUAGCUUUCACCCGGUCAGUCUGUCUUAAUGUUUUGUAUACUCAGCGUAUGUCUCUAAUUUUUUGAAUACAACAGUAUUUUCUCUAUACCAGCAAUGACAGGUCAGAGGUUGUGUGAAAGGGAGAAGGCAGUAAACAGUCAUGUCCGGAUCUGGGGAUCACCUGUAUCGGUUCUGUUUGGUUUAUGUCAUAGAACAUUUUAAUGUUUUUCUGUUUGUUAAUUCUCAAGAGUUAUUUUUAUUUAUUUUGGGGGUCUCUGCUCUAUUCUACAUCAGGCUGAACAAAAUAAUUUGCAUUGAUUCAUGUGUGGAACACUGAUAAAUCAGAUUCUGUGUUUCUCCCUUAAUGUCUGCCCCUAACCACCUGUCCACAUUCAGAUGGGGCUCGGCUCCUAAAGGUGAAAGUCAGGGUUGGGGUAUAAUGAGAUGAUCCUAGAUCAGGUUGUUCUCCUUUUGUGUGUGUGUGUGGGGGGGGGGAAGACAAAGAGCACGUUGAGUUUCCACACCAAUGCAAAGCCUUUAUUCUGUAACUGAGACUCUUGUUAGCCUUAAACGUUUCAUUUUUUAACUUUCUCUUUAUUUUACAUCUUGUGAUGCUGCUGCAUGUACAUCGCCUUUUAUGUCUGUGUCAGUACUUUUAACAAUUUAAAAUAUGGCCUAAACUCUACCAGCAUUCAUUUACAUAUGGAUAUGUUUGACUUGUUUUGAUUUACCAAAUAUUUAAAUGAAUGUUAUUUGUUUUGUUUUUUUAGCACUUUUUUUUCAUGUCGGUUUGUCUUCAUUUCAGUUGUAAAUUUCUUUUAAAAAAUGUCAAAAACUCCACUCUAGUUAUUUUCCAAGAUGAGUGGAGGGUUUUUAAAAGAAUGUUCAACUACUGAAUUUCCCAUGGAAUACAAAUGAUUUGUGAUGGGCUGUUGCAAACCAAUCUUUGAUUCCCAACUCACAUUUCUAAAAGCUGACGUUAAAGACCUGCUUGGUAUUGGAGUUGUCCCUAGUGGGAACAACUCCGUGGGAAUCGAACCCACAACCCUGGUAUUGCAUGUGCCGUGCUCUACCGAGAGUGAUCCCCGGGUUGGGAUCAAUCUCAUUUAAUUUCCAGUCAGUUCGGGAAGUACACUAUAAUUCCAAUUCAAUGCUUUUCAAUUGGAAACAUUUUAGAGAAAAAAAUCAAUAAUUAUUGACUAGAAUUUCGAUGUGAUUGACCUGAAUUCUGCACUGUACCCUGUGAGACUUGUCCGCUAUGCUGUAAGAUGUUCUGAGUAACUUUUGUACCAACAUUCCCAAGAUGUAAUAUUGAAAAUAUUUACAGUAAUAAAUAUCUUUAUGUAAUACAAUGAA